rnacentral:tRNA from 1 species
AUUACUUUGGCAGAUUAGUGCAAUGAAUUUAGAAUUCAUGAAUGUAAUAUUUAUUACAAGUAAUA